UGCAGUCGACGCGUUGGCCCAACUGAUUGAACGUGCUUGCACGGACUUGACGUUGGUUUACCAGCGAGUGGCGGACGGGUGAGUAACACGUAGGUAACCUGCCCCAAAGCGGGGGAUAACAUUUGGAAACAGAUGCUAAUACCGCAUAACAAUUUGAAUCGCAUGAUUCAAAUUUAAAAGAUGGCUUCGGCUAUCACUUUGGGAUGGACCUGCGGCGCAUUAGCUUGUUGGUAGGGUAACGGCCUACCAAGGCUGUGAUGCGUAGCCGAGUUGAGAGACUGAUCGGCCACAAUGGAACUGAGACACGGUCCAUACUCCUACGGGAGGCAGCAGUAGGGAAUCUUCCACAAUGGGCGCAAGCCUGAUGGAGCAACACCGCGUGAGUGAAGAAGGGUUUCGGCUCGUAAAGCUCUGUUGUUAGAGAAGAACGUGCGUGAGAGCAACUGUUCACGCAGUGACGGUAUCUAACCAGAAAGUCACGGCUAACUAC
rnacentral:rRNA from 2 species